GACGGAGGGUGCAAGCGUUGUUCGGAAUUACUGGGCGUAAAGGGCGCGUAGGCGGUCCGCUAAGUUCGGUGUGAAAGCCCCUGGCUCAACUGGGGAACGGCGCUGGAAACUGGCGGACUCGAGUACCGGAGAGGAGAGUGGAAUUCCUGGUGUAGCGGUGAAAUGCGUAGAUAUCAGGAGGAACACCGGUGGCGAAGGCGGCUCUCUGGACGGAUACUGACGCUGAGGCGCGAAAGCGUGGGGAU
rnacentral:rRNA from 1 species